CAGUCGCCGCGGUAAUACGAAGGGGGCUAGCGUUGUUCGGAAUUACUGGGCGUAAAUCGCACGUAGGCGGAUUGUUAAGUUAGGGGUGAAAUCCCAGGGCUCAACCCUGGAGCUGCCUUUAAUACUGGCAAUCUCGAGUCCGAGAGAGGUGAGUGGAAUUCCGAGUGUAGAGGUGAAAUUCGUAGAUAUUCGGAGGAACACCAGUGGCGAAGGCGGCUCACUGGCUCGGUACUGACGCUGAGGUGCGAAAGCGUGGGGAGCAAACAGGAUUAGAUACCCCGGUAGUCCCUGUCUCUUAUAC
rnacentral:rRNA from 1 species